UUUACUUUCGGACAUCACGUUUGACCAUCCGUCUUAUUCAAAAAAUUUAUGAAUAUAUUAUUUAUUUUUGUUAUGAUUUACUUCAAGUAUGACUUAUUUGUUUUUAUAUUUUUAUAAAUUUUUUAAAUAAGACGGAUGGUCAAACGUGAUGUGCGGAAACCGAUAAAUGCCUACAUU
rfam:Leersia perrieri chromosome 5, whole genome shotgun sequence.